UACGGAGGGUGCGAGCGUUGUCCGGAUUUAUUGGGCGUAAAGAGCUCGUAGGCGGUUUGUCGCGUCGGCCGUGAAAUCUCCACGCUUAACGUGGAGCGUGCGGUCGAUACGGGCAGACUUGAGUUCGGUAGGGGAGACUGGAAUUCCUGGUGUAGCGGUGAAAUGCGCAGAUAUCAGGAGGAACACCGGUGGCGAAGGCGGGUCUC
rnacentral:rRNA from 1 species